GGCUCGGUGGCACAGCGGUUAGUGCAUCUGCCAUUGAUGAAAUGAUAAAACAGGGCUCUGCAGAAGACGCCUGUUCGACUCGGGCCCGGGCCA